rnacentral:rRNA from 1 species
UGAACGCUGGCGGCAUGCCUUACACAUGCAAGUCGAACGGCAGCGCGGGCUUCGGCCUGGCGGCGAGUGGCGAACGGGUGAGUAAUACAUCGGAACGUGCCCUAGAGUGGGGGAUAACUAGUCGAAAGAUUAGCUAAUACCGCAUACGAUCUACGGAUGAAAGCGGGGGACCGUAAGGCCUCGCGCGAUUGGAGCGGCCGAUGGCUGAUUAGCUAGUUGGUGGGGUAAGAGCCUACCAAGGCAUCGAUCAGUAGCUGGUCUGAGAGGAUGAUCAGCCACACUGGGACUGAGACACGGCCCAGACUCCUACGGGAGGCAGCAGUGGGGAAUUUUCCGCAAUGGGCGAAAGCCUGACGGAGCAACGCCGCGUGAGGGAUGAAGGCCUCUGGGCUGUAAACCUCUUUUAUCAAGGAAGAAGAUCUGACGGUACUUGAUGAAUAAGCCACGGCUAAUUCCGCGCCAGCAGCCGCG